GGGGGGGGGUGGGGGGGGGGCGGGGGCGGGGAGGGCGGGCGGACGGACGAGGAGCUUGCUUCUCUGAUGUUAGCGGCGGACGGGGGAGUAACACGUGGAUAACCUACCUAUAAGACUGGGAUAACUUCGGGAAACCGGAGCUAAUACCGGCUAAUAUUUUGAACCGCAUGGUUCAAAAGUGAAAGACGGUCUUGCUGUCACUUAUAGAUGGAUCCGCGCUGCAUUAGCUAGUUGGUAAGGUAACGGCUUACCAAGGCAACGAUGCAUAGCCGACCUGAGAGGGUGAUCGGCCACACUGGAACUGAGACACGGUCCAGACUCCUACGGGAGGCAGCAGUAGGGAAUCUUCCGCAAAGGGCGAAAGCCUGACGGAGCAACGCCGCGUGAGUGAUGAAGGUCUUCGGAUCGUAAACCUCUGUUAUUAGGGAAGAACAUAUGUGUAAGUAACUGUGCACAUCUUGACGGUACCUAAUCAGAAAGCCACGGCUAACUACGUG
rnacentral:rRNA from 1 species